GACGAACGCUGGCGGCGUGCUUAACACAUGCAAGUCGAACGGAAAGGCCCUGCUUUUGUGGGGUGCUCGAGCGGCGAACGGGUGAGUAACACGUGAGUAACCUGCCCUUGACUUUGGGAUAACUUCAGGAAACUGGGGCUAAUACCGGAUAGGAGCUCCUGCUGCAUGGUGGGGGUUGGAAAGUUUCGGCGGUUGGGGAUGGACUCGCGGCUUAUCAGCUUGUUGGUGGGGUAGUGGCUUACCAAGGCUUUGACGGGUAGCCGGCCUGAGAGGGUGACCGGCCACAUUGGGACUGAGAUGCGGCCCAGACUCCUACGGGAGGCAGCAGUGGGGAAUAUUGCACAAUGGGCGGAAGCCUGAUGCAGCAACGCCGCGUGCGGGAUGACGGCCUUCGGGUUGUAAACCGCUUUCGCCUGUGACGAAGCGUGAGUGACGGUAAUGGGUAAAGAAGCACCGGCUAACUACGUG
rnacentral:rRNA from 1 species